ACGAACGCUGGCGGCAUGCCUAAUACAUGCAAGUCGAACGCUUUGAUUUCACCGGGUGCUUGCACCCACCGAAGUCAAGGAGUGGCGGACGGGUGAGUAACACGUGGGUAACCUGCCCAUAAGAGGGGGAUAACAUUCGGAAACGGAUGCUAAUACCGCAUAUUUCUAAACGUCACAUGACGAAUAGAAGAAAGGUGGCUUCGGCUACCGCUUAUGGAUGGACCCGCGGCGUAUUAGCUAGUUGGUGAGGUAAUGGCUCACCAAGGCGAUGAUACGUAGCCGACCUGAGAGGGUGAUCGGCCACACUGGGACUGAGACACGGCCCAGACUCCUACGGGAGGCAGCAGUAGGGAAUCUUCCGCAAUGGACGAAAGUCUGACGGAGCAAUGCCGCGUGAGUGAAGAAGGUUUUCGGAUCGUAAAACUCUGUUGUUAGAGAAGAACAAGGAUGAGAGUAACUGCUCAUCCCCUGACGGUAUCUAACCAGAAAGCCACGGCUAACUACGUGCC
rnacentral:rRNA from 2 species